rnacentral:rRNA from 1 species
ACGAACGCUGGCGGCGCGCCUAACACAUGCAAGUCGAACGAGCGAGAGAGAGCUUGCUUUCUCGAGCGAGUGGCGAACGGGUGAGUAACGCGUGAGGAACCUGCCUCAAAGAGGGGGACAACAGUUGGAAACGACUGCUAAUACCGCAUAAGCCCACGACCCGGCAUCGGGUAGAGGGAAAAGGAGCAAUCCGCUUUGAGAUGGCCUCGCGUCCGAUUAGCUAGUUGGUGAGGUAACGGCCCACCAAGGCGACGAUCGGUAGCCGGACUGAGAGGUUGAACGGCCACAUUGUGACUGAGACACGGCCCAGACUCCUACGGGAGGCAGCAGUGGGGAAUAUUGCACAAUGGGGGAAACCCUGAUGCAGCGACGCCGCGUGGAGGAAGAAGGUCUUCGGAUUGUAAACUCCUGUUGUUGAGGAAGAUAAUGACGGUACUCAACAAGGAAGUGACGGCUAACUACGUG